rnacentral:rRNA from 1 species
ACUGUGUGUUGUUGGGUAGGGGAGCGUUCUGUAAGCCUGUGAAGGUGUGUCGUGAGGCAUGCUGGAGGUAUCAGAAGUGCGAAUGCUGACAUAAGUAACGAUAAAGCGGGUGAAAAGCCCGCUCGCCGGAAGACCAAGGGUUCCUGUCCAACGUUAAUCGGGGCAGGGUGAGUCGACCCCUAAGGCGAGGCCGAAAGGCGUAGUCGAUGGGAAACGGGUUAAUAUUCCCGUACUUGGUGUUACUGCGAAGGGGGGACGGAGAAGGCUAUGUUGGCCGGGCGACGGUUGUCCCGGUUUAAGCGUGUAGGUGUGUGUUCCAGGUAAAUCCGGUUCACUUUAACACUGAGGCGUGACGACGAGGCACUACGGUGCUGAAGCAACAAAUGCCCUGCUUCCAGGAAAAGCCUCUAAGCAUCAGGUAACAUCAAAUCGUACCCCAAACCGACACAGGUGGUCAGGUAGAGAAUACCAAGGCGCUUGAGAGAACUCGGGUGAAGGAACUAGGCAAAAUGGUGCCGUAACUUCGGGAGAAGGCACGCUGACACGUAGGUGAAGUGAUUUACUCAUGGAGCUGAAGUCAGUCGAAGAUACCAGCUGGCUGCAACUGUUUAUUAAAAACACAGCACUGUGCAAACACGAAAGUGGACGUAUACGGUGUGACGCCUGCCCGGUGCCGGAAGGUUAAUUGAUGGGGUCAGCGCAAGCGAAGCUCCUGAUCGAAGCCCCGGUAAACGGCGGCCGUAACUAUAACGGUCCUAAGGUAGCGAAAUUCCUUGUCGGGUAAGUUCCGACCUGCACGAAUGGCGUAAUGAUGGCCAGGCUGUCUCCACCCGAGACUCAGUGAAAUUGAACUCGCUGUGAAGAUGCAGUGUACCCGCGGCAAGACGGAAAGACCCCGUGAACCUUUACUAUAGCUUGACACUGAACAUUGAGCCUUGAUGUGUAGGAUAGGUGGGAGGCUUUGAAGCGUGGACGCCAGUCUGCGUGGAGCCGACCUUGAAAUACCACCCUUUAAUGUUUGAUGUUCUAACGUGGACCCGUAAUCCGGGUUGCGGACAGUGUCUGGUGGGUAGUUUGACUGGGGCGGUCUCCUCCUAAAGAGUAACGGAGGAGCACGAAGGUUGGCUAAUCCUGGUCGGACAUCAGGAGGUUAGUGCAAUGGCAUAAGCCAGCUUGACUGCGAGCGUGACGGCGCGAGCAGGUGCGAAAGCAGGUCAUAGUGAUCCGGUGGUUCUGAAUGGAAGGGCCAUCGCUCAACGGAUAAAAGGUACUCCGGGGAUAACAGGCUGAUACCGCCCAAGAGUUCAUAUCGACGGCGGUGUUUGGCACCUCGAUGUCGGCUCAUCACAUCCUGGGGCUGAAGUAGGUCCCAAGGGUAUGGCUGUUCGCCAUUUAAAGUGGUACGCGAGCUGGGUUUAGAACGUCGUGAGACAGUUCGGUCCCUAUCUGCCGUGGGCGCUGGAGAACUGAGGGGGGCUGCUCCUAGUACGAGAGGACCGGAGUGGACGCAUCACUGGUGUUCGGGUUGUCAUGCCAAUGGCACUGCCCGGUAGCUAAAUGCGGAAGAGAUAAGUGCUGAAAGCAUCUAAGCACGAAACUUGCCCCGA